AUUGAACGCUGGCGGCAUGCCUUACACAUGCAAGUCGAACGGUAACAGGUCUUUCGGGAUGCUGACGAGUGGCGAACGGGUGAGCAAUACAUCGGAACGUGCCUAGUAGUGGGGGAUAACUACUCGAAAGAGUGGCUAAUACCGCAUGAGAUCUAUGGAUGAAAGCAGGGGACCUUUGGGCCUUGUGCUACUAGAGCGGCCGAUGGCAGAUUAGGUAGUUGGUGGGAUAAAAGCUUACCAAGCCUACGAUCUGUAGCUGGUCUGAGAGGACGAUCAGCCACACUGGGACUGAGACACGGCCCAGACUCCUACGGGAGGCAGCAGUGGGGAAUUUUGGACAAUGGGCGCAAGCCUGAUCCAGCAAUGCCGCGUGCAGGAUGAAGGCCUUCGGGUUGUAAACUGCUUUUGUACGGAACGAAAAGUCUUGGGUUAAUACCCUGGGAUCAUGACGGUACCGUAAGAAUAAGCACCGGCUAACUACGUG
rnacentral:rRNA from 1 species